rnacentral:misc_RNA from 1 species
UCCGGCUUAACGCCGGCAGUCUCCCUAGAGUGCCCAACUGAAUGGUGGCAACUAAGGACAAGGGUUGCGCUCGUUGCGGGACUUAACCCAACACCUCACGGCACGAGCUGACGACAGCCAUGCAGCACCUGAACCGGCAGUCCCCGAAGGGAAAAUCCUAUUUCUAGGACGGUCCACCGUUGUCUAGCCCAGGUAAGGUUCUUCGCGUUGCGUCGAAUUGAACCACAUGCUCCACCGCUUGUGGUUUAAUUCGAAGCAACGCGAAGAACCUUACCAGCCCUUGACAUGGUCGGACGGUUUCCAGAGAUGGAUUCCUUCACUUCGGUGACUGACACA